UACGGAGGGUGCAAGCGUUAAUCGGAAUUACUGGGCGUAAAGCGUGCGCAGGCGGUUUGUUAAGUCUGUUGUGAAAUCCCCGAGCUCAACUUGGGAAUUGCAAUGGAUACUGGCAGGCUGGAGUAUGGUAGAGGAAGGUGGAAUUCCGCGUGUAGUGGUGAAAUGCGUAGAUAUGCGGAGGAACACCAGUGGCGAAGGCGGCCACCUGGACCGUCCCUGACGCUCAAACACGAAAGCUAGGGUAGCGAACGGG
rnacentral:rRNA from 1 species